AGCAGCCGCGGUAAUUCCAGCUCCAAUAGCGUAUAUUAAAGUUGUUGCAGUUAAAAGGCUCGUAGUUGAAUUUCGGGGUUAGCAGGUUGGUCAUGCCUCUGGUAUGUACUGGUCUCACUGAUUCCUCCUUCCUUAUGAACCGUAAUGCCAUUAAUUUGGUGUUGCGGGGAAUUUGGACUGUUACUUUGAAAAAUUAGAGUGUUUAAAGCAAGCUAACGCUUGAAUACAUUAGCAUGGAAUAAUGAAAUAGGACGUUCGAUCUUAUUUUGUUGGUUUCUAGGAUUGACGUAAUGAUUAAUAGGGAUAGUUGGGGGCAUUAGUAUUCAAUUGUCAGAGGUGAAAUUCUUGGAUUUAUUGAAGACUAACUACUGCGAAAGCAUUUGCCAAGGAUGUUUUCAUUAAUCAAGAACGAAAGUUAGGGGAUCGAAGACGAUCAGAUACCGUCGUAGUCUUAACCAUAAACUAUGCCGACUAGGGA
rnacentral:rRNA from 1 species